rfam:Schistosoma curassoni strain Dakar, Senegal genome assembly, scaffold: SCTD_contig0031719
AUCCAGCUGACGAGUCCCGAACAGGACAAAACACGCGUCCUGGAU